rnacentral:rRNA from 1 species
UACGUAGGUGGCAAGCGUUACUCGGAAUUACUAGGCGUAAAGCGCAGGUAGGCGGUUUGGCAAGUCGGGUGUGAAAACUCCGGGCUCAACUCGGAGACGCCACUCGAUACUGCUAUGACUCGAGUCCGGUAGGGGAGUGCGGAAUUCCUGGUGUAGCGGUGAAAUGCGCAGAUAUCAGGAGGAACACCGGUGGCGAAGGCGGCACUCUGGGCCGGUACUGACGCUGAGGAGCGAAAGCGUGGGGAGCGAACAGG